ensembl:lncRNA GARS1-DT GARS1 divergent transcript
GCCUCCCAAAGUGCUGGGAUUACAGGUGUGAGCCAGCGCGCCCAGCCAACUUGUACUAUUUCUAAGCUAAUACAAGUCCAUUUCACAUAGAUAACACAUUACAUUUCUACAGAAAUCAUUGUAUUAAGCCUACUGAAAUGCAUCUUGCUGUUUUUUGAACUAAAGACCCAUGUAUAAGUGAUAGUUCUUUCAUAUCAGUACAUGAAUCUGAGGAGACCCUAAUUUUCAGUGGCCACAGGUCCUUAAUCUGCUGUGCUUUUCCCUGGCAGUGCUCAACAGCUGGGAGCUGCCCCAUGGAAAGGGACUACUGGCCUAAUCCCAGACUGGGGUUUGACUAAAAGGUUGCGCCAGGAGGACAAAAGGGCAAGAGAGUAAGACCACCAGCAAGAGAAUGACCAAAAUGAUAGACUUGGGCCAUAUUUUGGGCUAAUUGUGCCCCCCAAAAUAUAUAUGUUGAAGCCCUAACCCCCAAUGUAUCAGUAGUUGGAGAUGGGGCCUUUUGGGGGGUAAUUAGGUUUAGAUGAAGUUACAAAAUAGAGCCCUCAUGCUGGGAUUAGUGCUCCUAUAAGACAUCAGGAAGUUUGCUCUCUCUUUCUGUCGUGUGAGGAUACAGUGAGAAGGCAGCCAUCUGCAAGCUAGGAAGAGGGCCCAUGCCAGAACCUGACCAUGCUGGCACUCUGAUUUUGGAUUUCUAGUCUCUAGAACUGUGAAUAAGUACGUUUCUAUUGCGUAAGCCACCCAGUCUAUGGUAUUUUAUUAUGGCAGCCUGAGCUGACUAAUAUAGGCUUCUAGAUUGGAAGGGGAAGGAAGUAAAGAGAGAGAAUUGAUAGGGAUAAAGAAGAGGCAUCAAGAGACUUGGGGUAUCUGCUACUGAAGACAUCAGCUCUCUAUGACAAAACAGCACAGCAUGUUUGGAGUAAGAGAAAGCUGAAGUCUCAACAAACAAAUAGAUUCUUAAUGUUCUAUACCACCGGACAAACUGCAGCCCUUUUAUACAUAUGGAGUACUUUCUGGGCCAGUCCUGUGGCCCCUUUCAAAUGUAUGGUGUUGAAACGUAGUAAGUUUAUGUUUUUAAGGUCUGCCCCUCCCUUCUUGCAUUAUAUCAUAAACUCUUCUCUUUUUUUUUUUUUUUGAGACGGAGUCCCGCUCUGUCACGCAGGCUGCCAGGCUGGCGUACAGUGGCGCAAUCUCAGCUCGCUGCAACCUCCACCUCCUGGGUUCAAGCGAUUUUCUUGCCUCUGCCUCCUGAGUAGCUGGGAUUACUGGCACACACCACCAUGCACAGGGAGAUAUGAGACAUCAAUCAAUAUAUGUAAGAUGUACAUCAGUUUCGUCUGGAAAGAUGGGACAACAUGAAGCAGGGAGGGGGCUCCCUGGUGACAGGGAAUUUUCUUGUGGGCAAAUUGUGAGGGAGUUCCUUGUUCAAAAUGCCAAGAACCUGGAUGACUCAUAGUCAAGACCCUCCACCAGUAACAUAUAUUGGCGAGCCAGCCAGGAGCUUGGAACCCUCGGUGGACAGUGCCUAAGCACAGAGGCAACCACAGGUUUCUAACAGGGCCACUCUCUGGUGAAACUGAAAGGUUUCUGUGUGAAAGUGCCUGACCACCACUGCCCAAUUCAGACCACUACAGGAAACACUCCAUUUAUUCCACCUGACUUCCCACUUGGCUGCAUCCUCAACCAUUGAAAUGAAUUUGACCCUGAUAAUCUAAGGAGGAAACAUUUGAUAUUCUUUUGCAAUAAUACUUGGCCCCAGUAUUGUUUGGAAUCUGGAGUUUGCUGUUGAAUGGGAAAGCAGGAUGACGUUGCAUGUAUCCAGGCUUUGGUGCUGCUGUCCUAAGAAGGGUCAGGCCUAGUCAGCAUAUGGUGCUCUCCUUUGGUGCUAUUUGGCUCCAGUGUCUUUGGAGUCUGAGGAGGUUUGGCCUUUAAAAAUCAAACUGCCACCGGAACUGCUUUAAAAAUGUUUGGUUCACAGCCUUCACUGGAUUACCUAUUGGAGCAAACAAAGUGUAACCAUGUAAAACCUGUGAGCUUGUAUUGAUAUCUCAUGGCUAGAGUUCCAAGGUAAAAGCUAUUGGAUCUUCGUUUGUGUGUGUGUAUACAUGUCUAGAUGUGUUUAUUUGUAUGUACACUUAUUGUUAUAUGUUGUGUCAACCAAAUCAGCUUAUAAAUAAAAAAGCACUCAUAAAUUAAAUAAAUA